rnacentral:rRNA from 1 species
UACGAAGGGGGCUAGCGUUGCUCGGAAUUACUGGGCGUAAAGGGCGCGUAGGCGGAUGUUUAAGUCGGGGGUGAAAGCCCGGGGCUCAACCUCGGAAUAGCCUUCGAUACUGGACAUCUUGAGUACGGGAGAGGUGAGUGGAACUCCGAGUGUAGAGGUGAAAUUCGUAGAUAUUCGGAAGAACACCAGUGGCGAAGGCGACUCACUGGACGACUGUUGACGCUGAGGUGCGAAAGCGUGGGGAGCAAACAGG